rnacentral:rRNA from 1 species
UGGCGGACGGGUGAGUAAUGCAUAGGAAUCUGCCUCGGAGUGGGGGAUAACUAAGGGAAACUUUAGCUAAUACCGCAUGAUGUCUACGGACCAAAGCAGGGGACCUUCGGGCCUUGCGUUCUGAGAGGAGCCUAUGUCAGAUUAGCUAGUUGGUGGGGUAAAGGCCUACCAAGGCAUUGAUCUGUAACUGGUCUGAGAGGAUGACCAGUCACACUGGGACUGAGACACGGCCCAGACUCC